UAGGGAAUCUUCGGCAAUGGACGAAAGUCUGACCGAGCAACGCCGCGUGAGUGAAGAAGGUUUUCGGAUCGUAAAACUCUGUUGGUAGAGAAGAACGUUGGUGAGAGUGGAAAGCUCAUCAAGUGACGGUAACUACCCAGAAAGGGACGGCUAACUACGUGCCAGCAGCCGCGGUAAUACGUAGGUCCCGAGCGUUGUCCGGAUUUAUUGGGCGUAAAGCGAGCGCAGGUGGUUUAUUAAGUCUGGUGUAAAAGGCAGUGGCUCAACCAUUGUAUGCAUUGGAAACUGGUAGACUUGAGUGCAGGAGAGGAGAGUGGAAUUCCAUGUGUAGCGGUGAAAUGCGUAGAUAUAUGGAGGAACACCGGUGGCGAAAGCGGCUCUCUGGCCUGUAACUGACACUGAGGCUCGAAAGCGUGGGGAGCAAACAGGAUUAGAUACCCUGGUA
rnacentral:rRNA from 1 species